UAGGGAAUAUUGCACCAUGGACGAAAGUCUGAUGCAGCAACGCCGCGUGAGUGAUGAAGGCCUUCGGGUCGUAAAACUCUUUUCAAGGGGAAGAGGAAGGACGGUACCCUUGGAAUAAGCAUCGGCUAACUACGUGCCAGCAGCCGCGGUAACACGUAGGAUGCAAGCGUUAUUCGGAUUUACUGGGCGUAAAGCGCGUGUAGGCGGUUAGGAUAGUUGGAUGUGAAAGCUCCCGGCUUAACUGGGAGAGGUCGUUCAAAACUUCCUGACUAGAGUUUGGUAGAGGAAAAUGGAAUUCCGGGUGUAGUGGUGAAAUGCGUAGAUAUCCGGAGGAACACCAGUGGCGAAAGCGAUUUUCUGGACCGAUACUGACGCUCAGACGCGAAAGCUAGGGUAGCAAACG
rnacentral:rRNA from 1 species